ACCCCAGAGUGCACUCUGGACGAUGGGGUGGGGCGACACUUUUGGGUGGAGCGACACGUGUCGCCCCGCCCCUAUUUUCCUGUUCCCGCCUUUGCCAUUUUCCUCCGACCCCCUAGGGGGCAGUUUGCGAUAAAAGGCAACGGUGGCAGCAUUAACGAACGAACGACACUCCACGUUGAUUGCGAUUCCAAAUGUGGGUCUGAGCGUACAGCACGAGCAAGCACCUGCAGCUCGGUAGCACAGAGGUUUGGAGCUAAAUCCUGCAUUAGAGAGAGCCCUGCAUUGAAAGUGGAGAUGUUUUGUCAUACAGCAAAAUGACAAGAUCCCACAUCGACAACUUCCGCUUCUUCAAACAGAGGAUCUCUUCCAAACACGAAGACCAAAAACCAAAUGGAUAAUAGGAACAAGCCAGCAGUUACACCUGAAUCUGAACUUAAGUGUGGAAAUGUCAAGAGUUCUACAGCACUCAACCUUACAAAAGGCAAUGUCUUCGGGGAGAUUCAGACAGAGAGAUUCCGGUAAUUUAUUGUGCACAUACAUUCAUUAAGCAAUUUCUUUGAAUAGUGUUCUGGUAAAACUUCCAUUUGUUGGUGAAACAAUGGAGUUAUUUGUCAUUGUUCAAGACAGGCAUGUUAAGGGAGGGCUUUAGUGAAGCGCUGCAGAGCUUCUGUCCUAACGGUGGAAACACAGUGUGAUUUUGUGCUCGGUGAUACAGGUCCAAGGCUAUUAACACCGCCCGACCCUUGAAAGCCCUGGCCCACACUGGCCUGACAGUGGGGAAAGCGGCUAAUGUGUGUUGGAGCGAUAUUAUUUUAAUAUUAUCGUUAUAAGAGAAUAUGUAUCUCUUUAUUUAUUAUUUUAUUCAGAGCAUGCAGUUUUGACAACAAUAUAUCAGCUUCCCCAUGAAAUAAUAGCAACUGGUGAUUCUGCAUAUUUGACGCUUUCACUGGUAUGCAGAUGGUUUAGGGAUGUGGUCACAAAUGAAAUUUUCCAGAAAGCAGCACACUUUGCCUGGCUAGACUGUGUGGUCAACUGGAAAAAAAAUUCUCCGGACUACUGUGAUGAGUUUCGCCGGAUCUACAGCUUCAGGGAAUGCUUGGAGCUUUUUUUAAGUCCUAUCCACCAGGGUACAGGGGAAGAGGAAGACUAGGGGAACUGCUGGGCUUUUACUGCGAAGAUCUUUGUACAGGAUUUUGCUCGCAGGACUGUUUUUUUGCUGCAGGAAAUGAAUUUCUGUAAAACUCAAACUUGUAGAUGGGAAUUGAGAGAUGAACUGGUUUUGAUGUAGUAAUUGAUGCAACUAAAAGGUAAACUUAAAGUUCAAACUUGAAAAAUUAGAAUAUUGUGCAAAAGUUCAUGUUCAGUAAUUCAAAUUAAAAAGUGAAACUAAUAUGUUUAGUAUAAAUGACUAUAUGCAUAUGGCAUGAUUAUAUAUAAUUUUCAGAGGGCUUACAUUUUUGUAAUAUUCUGAUUUUGUGAGAUUUGGAAUUUGAUUUUCAUCAAAAUUAUAACUUUUGCACGAUAUUAAAAAUUUUCGAGUUUCACCUGUAUAGUGUUCUAUUGAAAAGCUAUGGCAAAAACAUAGGUUUCACUAAUUGUGCAUAUGGUAAAGUACCUUGGUUCUUUAAGGUUUGCAUAAAUUACAUUCUGCUGAUGUAUAAGUGCAGUUUGGAGUCUAUAAUAAAGAAAAAGUGACA